AAAUGACAUACCAUAAGCCCUAAAUCAGAAAGGUCUUUGCCAUGAAAAGCCUGGAUUAUUUACAGGCCUGUCUUAAUUCCACAGGAUCUUGGCUCUACCCAGUAUCCUGAGGAAUCUUCAUCUAGAACACCCCAGUAAACCAGAACCAACUCUACAUCUGGCAAGCAUCGUAUCCACAAUGGAAGAGAAACAGUGUUACACAGUGCCCCAGCUUCCAGGAUUUGGGGUGACUACAGUCCAGCUAGCUGUUGUCUGAGGCUCUUGCAUGCUGCCUGCCGACAAUCCUGUCUCUGAAGAACGACAUGACAAUGUGAGCAUCCGUGUUCCCAUAUUUGCCCUGAAUGAAGAGAAGAGGGUCCUGAUACUAGGUGGCUUCUUCUGCUCACCUGCUAUACAACACUGUCCACACCUUGGCCCUCCACAGGAGAUGGAAAACCCCCUGUCUCAAGUUUAGGAAAAGAGUCUAAGAGAAGUAGUUGGCAGAAAUGACAGCAAAUGGCUUCAGGUAACAGGUAAGUGGUUUUACCAAUUUGGAGUUAAACCCGAGGUUUCUCCAAAAUUCAGUGACUAUGUUUCUCUUUAUUUAUUUUUUUUUUUAAUUUUUUAUUUAUU
rnacentral:lncRNA from 1 species